UGCCGGGUCGUCUAAAGGUAGGACAAUAGACUCUGGAUCUAUUAAUUGGGGUUCGAAUCCCUGCCCGGCAA
rnacentral:tRNA from 1 species